GACGAACGCUGGCGGCGUGCUUAACACAUGCAAGUCGAACGGAAAGGCCCUGAUUUUGUGGGGUGCUCGAGUGGCGAACGGGUGAGUAACACGUGAGUAACCUGCCCUUGACUUUGGGGUAACUUCAGGUAACUGGGGCUAAUAUCGGAUAGGAGCUCCUGCUGCAUGGUGGGGGUUGGAAAGUUUCGGCGGGUGGGGAUGGACUCGCGGCUUAUCAGCUUGUUGGUGGGGUAGUGGCUUACCAAGGCUUUGACGGGUAGCCGGCCUGAGAGGGUGAACGGCGACAUUGGGACUGAGGUACGGCCCAGACGCCUACGGGAGGCAGCAGUGGGGAAUAUUGCACAAUGGGCGGAAGCCGGAUGCAGCAACCCCGCGUGCGGGAUGACGGCCUUCGGGUUAAAAACCGCUUUCGCCUGUGACGAAGCGUGAGUGACGGUAAUGGGUAAAAAAGCACCGGCUAACUACGUG
rnacentral:rRNA from 1 species